rnacentral:rRNA from 1 species
AUCCGGGCUGCGGACAGUGUCUGGUGGGUAGUUUGACUGGGGCGGUCUCCUCCCAAAGCGUAACGGAGGAGCACGAAGGUUGGCUAAUCCUGGUCGGACAUCAGGAGGUUAGUGCAAUGGCAUAAGCCAGCUUGACUGCGAGAGUGACGGCUCGAGCAGGUGCGAAAGCAGGUCAUAGUGAUCCGGUGGUUCUGAAUGGAAGGGCCAUCGCUCAACGGAUAAAAGGUACUCCGGGGAUAACAGGCUGAUACCGCCCAAGAGUUCAUAUCGACGGCGGUGUUUGGCACCUCGAUGUCGGCUCAUCACAUCCUGGGGCUGAAGUAGGUCCCAAGGGUACGGCUGUUCGCCGUUUAAAGUGGUACGCGAGCUGGGUUUAGAACGUCGUGAGACAGUUCGGUCCCUAUCUGCCGUGGGCGCUGGAGAAUUGAGGGGGGUUGCUCCUAGUACGAGAGGACCGGAGUGAACGCACCGCUGGUGUUCGGGUUGUCAUGCCAAUGGCACUGCCCGGUAGCUAAGUGCGGAAGAGAUAAGUGCUGAAAGCAUCUAAGCACGAAACUUGCCCCGAGAUGAGUUCUCCCUGACCC